CCUUCGAUAGCUCAGCUGGUAGAGCGGAGGACCGUAGCCCCAACAGCCAUCUGUGGACAUCCUUAGGUCGCUGGUUCGAUUCCGGCUCGAAGGA
rfam:Cavia porcellus supercont2_13 genomic scaffold, whole genome shotgun sequence.